rnacentral:tRNA from 1 species
GGAGAGGUGCUAGAGUGGUUUAAUAGAUUUCAUAGCAAUAUGGAAUUUCAGGAAACUGAAUCGUAGGUUCGAAUCCUACACUCUCCG